rnacentral:rRNA from 1 species
UACGAAGGGUGCAAGCGUUAUCCGGAUUCACUGGGUUUAAAGGGUGCGUAGGAGGGCAGGUAAGUCAGUGGUGAAAUCUCCAAGCUUAACUUGGAAACUGCCGUUGAUACUAUCUGUCUUGAAUACCGUGGAGGUGAGCGGAAUAUGUCAUGUAGCGGUGAAAUGCUUAGAUAUGACAUAGAACACCAAUUGCGAAGGCAGCUCGCUACACGAAUAUUGACUCUGAGGCACGAAAGCGUGGGGAUCAAACAGG